GAUGAACGCUGGCGGCGUGCCUAAUACAUGCAAGUCGAGCGAACAGACGAGGAGCUUGCUCCUCUGACGUUAGCGGCGGACGGGGGAGUAACACGUGGAUAACCUACCUAUAAGACUGGGAUAACUUCGGGAAACCGGAGCUAAUACCGGAUAAUAUAUUGAACCGCAUGGUUCAAUAGUGAAAGACGGUUUUGCUGUCACUUAUAGAUGGAUCCGCGCCGCAUUAGCUAGUUGGUAAGGUAACGGCUUACCAAGGCAACGAUGCGUAGCCGACCUGAGAGGGUGAUCGGCCACACUGGAACUGAGACACGGUCCAGACUCCUACGGGAGGCAGCAGUAGGGAAUCUGCCGCAAUGGGCGAAAGCUUGACGGAGCAGCGCCGCGUGAGUGAUGAAGGUCUUCGGAUCGUAAAACUCUGUUAUUAGGGAAGAACAAAUGUGUAAGUAACUAUGCACGUCUUGACGGUACCUAAUCAGAAAGCCACGGCUAACUACGUG
rnacentral:rRNA from 1 species